AAUAAAUGGUAAAUAAGUGGUAAUGGUAAAUAAUGGUAAAUAAGUUUUUAAUGAAAUCUUUUGUCGUUAUAUGAUUCCUGAAACCACCAUGACACGAAAGAGUAGCAUUCCCGGUUUCGUUGGUCCGGUUGAAAAUCGGGGCGACAGCAAGAGAGGACGGAGAUUAUCUCACAAAUAUUUGAGAGCAAUUAGAUGUUUGCUCGUCUGUUACCGUGUUUACAUUGUUCUUCGUAUCUAGACCGCAGACGUGUUUGUAACCGUGCACGAUGUACACCAAGUUCUCCAUGGAUAUUUCAUUUAAAUUUUUCUUUCAUUUAUUCGUAUAUUCGUAUAAUUAAUCAAUUUAUAAUAUAAAAUUAUAAAAUUUAAUUAAUCAUUAUGUCAUUAUUAAUUAUUAUAUUGAAUUUUAUUUUUUAUAUUAUAAAAUGUCUUAACGAAAAAUUAAGAAAGAAAAAUUCGGCUGAAGAAGAAAUUCGAAACAUUUUCAAAACAUUAACGAAAAAUAUUCUACAGUAUGUACAUCAAACAGUGAAAUACUAUUGUUGCUAUUAUUAGUCGGUGGAGAAGUUGGAUUGCUGGAAUUGCUCAUUUCGCUUCCGCUGAUGGUGUUUGGUGGACUUGUUUCUCCAGCUCCAACCCCCGUGUUUGCUUCAUCGCCGGUCCAAUCUGUCACUCCGCUUACUUGCGACUGUUGAUAUACCGGCUGAUGAUGUUGGUAUUGGAGGUGUGUGUACGCGUGAGCAUGAUGUGACCAGCUCGGUAGAACCUCCGCAGGAUCUAAGUACUGCUGUCCGGCAGCCUGGUGGUGUACUCCGUGCGGAUGUCCAUGGUACCCGUACCAAUAUUGUUGGCUACCGUCGGCAACAGAUGAAUUAUUCGCGUGCUGUUGCGUCUGUUGCACUUGAGUUUGUUGCAUCUGUUGCCCUAAUGGUUGUUGGCCAACAAUCUGUUGUUGCUGCCGGUACAUCGCGAAUGGAGUGUAGUACGGCAUCAUACCGAGCCCGCUGAUGUCCGCCAUUGAGCGAAAAGACUGUUCUCCGAAAUGGACUAAUGCACUCACGGAAUUCUUGGGGUACACUGCACAGAACGAAAGGUAACGAUCAUCAGUUAGAUGACCGUUGAGCACCCGCGAUGUUAUUGAGAUGUUGGUUACGACUGCUUCCUGAUUUGUGACCAUCGAAGGAUCCGACAACUUUACUUAAAUAGCAAAGUCCGCCUACAGCGUGCUUAUAUCCCCACCACGCGGUCACUUUUCCGCCAAUCGUCAUUCGGCUCUCCACUCUCCAACCGUAAUGGCCGUUCGACCAUCGUCCCAACGCCCAAACAUACCGCUAUUCGAUAAAAUACGCGCAGAAGGCGGUCCUCACGCCUCCGAAAACGCGAUUCCCAUGUAAAAGAUGCGAAAUAGACAAUAUUUUUCCCGCUUAUCGCACUUUACCAGCAUUU